UCUCUCUCUCUCUCUCUCUCUCUCUCUCUCUCUCUCUCUCUCUCUCCCCCUCCAAACCAUCUUUGGUAGCUCCUCUGCAAGCACCGACCACCAGUAACAGCCUCCAGACCGCGUGGACUGGGUUGGAACUCCUUGCGUCGCGUGGUUUGCUAUGUUGCUUCUGCUUUUUUCACUGCCACUUUUUUCGUUGCCGUAGUUGCUUGUUGGAGUUGUCUCCUUCCUCCCUCCAGGUUUGUCCCGGAUAAUAAUGCAUGUACAUAGGAGUGUACUAAUGUCAUUAAGAUGAUAUACGACCAUCCAUGACAAGCUACAAUAAGAUCUCUGCUGAGACCAAAGAGCGAUAGUUUCAUAAGUGGGAGGAGAAAUUUAUAUAGGAGAAGAUUCAUGAUGCCAUGAUAACAAAGAUCUUUAACCAUCGUAUGGAUAGGUGGCUUCAACAGAUGCUUAAGGAUAUAUGUGCGAGGCAUGACCACCUUACUUAGUGGCUUUGCCCGGAUGUUAAGAAGAGCCUCUACGUCUAUUGGAAAACUAAUGAGGGGUUCAGGUGUUGCUGAGCCACAAACAGGGCCAAUAGGGAAUCGACCAGGUCAUCCAAGUAUAUUGGUAGGUCAGCGACUUUCCUAAAGACAAAUGCCUGGUUGUCUAAUUCGUUGGAUCAUGAGGCAGAUGGCAGAGACCUUCGGGUAUACUCGCACCUUGAAGGAGAAUAAGGAGAGAUUUGCUGAUCAGCAGUCUCAGGAUUAUUAUGUGAAUAUACGUCGUGGUUUAAAUAAUAACAUAUAUUCGUUUCCAAUUAAUUGUCGUCCUAAUCACUUUUGCAUAUAUCGUGAUAUGUAGGAAUCUUAUACACAGAGGUUGGAGGUCUUGACCUGGCAAUCUUAAUAGAGUGGGGAGGAUGGCAACACCUUUACAACUUUCGUUAUCAAUCCUGAUGCGGUGUGGUGUGAGAUCGCAUUUAAGCUGUACAAGAAUCGUGUCUACGGGUUGAAGACAUUUUUUGCCGGCAACCUUUGCACCUUAACCUUGAGAGCUUCAUCCACCUCAUGCACUAGCCUUGUCGAUCCCGAGGUCAUCGAUUUGUGGGAGUCGGUUUACAGCCUCACCCAGAGAGCCUUUAAGACCAAGCUCAGCAUCUGCAUUUGUUUAAGGAAAGGUAUAAUGAGAUUCUUGCAUGCACAAAAGCGAGGGAUACUCGUGAUGCAGAGACAGAGUCCUUGAAGGUGGAGCUCAGGCGGGAGUUGGAGUAGAUUCAGUGGAUGCGACAAUAGAUGGCGAUGUACUAUGAGCAUAUGUGCGCUAGUGGCAGCACCGCUAGUGGAGGGGGCUCUUCUUCCUCUGCACAGGAGUCAGGAUAGGCACCGACACCACCACCUAGACCGCCGCCUCAACAAGACCAGGAAAAUGACGAUGAUGAUGACGAUCAAGACCCAUAGUCGUUAGGGUUUUGUUUUGAUUUGUUUGAGAGAAUUUUAUUUCUUCGCAUUUUGAUUCUGUAUACUUAAUUCACAUUACAUAUAGAUCACUAUUUUCAGAUGAAUUACUAGAUUUUUAC